AUUAAAUUUAUAAACUACUAUAGAUACCCCAGCCUAGUUAAGGAGAAUGUUUUCACAAAAAUGUAAAAACAAGGAGAGGUUCUGGUUAAUGGGAAUUUGAGAAGAAGGCUGAUAAUUAAGUGCACAUUUCCAUAACUAACUAAAGAGUAAAUAUGGCACAACUCAAGGAAACCGCCCAGAAACGGGUUUUGGCAAGGAGAAGGAAAAGGCACAUCACAUGAGCUGAAGCUGCUAGGCAAUGUUGUUUGGUGGUACAAACUAUAGUUAUUAUAAUAGUCUGUAAUCAGACUUGCUAUCAUGUAAUAAAGUUAGACUUGGUAGUAGUGUUGUAAGCGAUCGACCCUGGAUUUGUGGGGCGAGAGUUGGUUGUAUAACAUUAAAAUGUAAUGCAAGUGUUGUUUUGAGCCA